UAUUAAAAUUUUCAUCAAUUUCUAUUGUUAAAAUCUAGUGUUAAUGACAAUAACCAGAUAGUUACAUGUGCAUGCCACGUAUAUCUCAUGCUAAUGUACAAAGGCUAGUUUUUAAGGGUAAAAAUACAUAAAAUUUUUAAUA
rfam:Gossypium raimondii Chr07_contig_21, whole genome shotgun sequence.